rnacentral:rRNA from 1 species
ACGGGUGCGUAACGCGUGGGAAUCUGCCCUUAGGUUCGGAAUAACAGCUGGAAACGGCUGCUAAUACCGGAUGAUAUCGCGAGAUCAAAGAUUUAUCGCCUGAGGAUGAGCCCGCGUUGGAUUAGGUAGUUGGUGGGGUAAAGGCCUACCAAGCCGACGAUCCAUAGCUGGUCUGAGAGGAUGAUCAGCCACACUGGGACUGAGACACGGCCCAGACUCCUACGGGAGGCAGCAGUGGGGAAUAUUGGACAAUGGGCGCAAGCCUGAUCCAGCAAUGCCGCGUGAGUGAUGAAGGCCCUAGGGUUGUAAAGCUCUUUUACCCGGGAAGAUAAUGACUGUACCGGGAGAAUAAGCCCCGGCUAACUCCGUGCCAGCAGCCGCGGUAAUACGGAGGGGGCUAGCGUUGUUCGGAAUUACUGGGCGUAAAGCGCACGUAGGCGGCUUUGUAAGUCCGUUGUGAAAGCCCUGGGCUCAACCUGGGAACUGCAGUGGAUACUGGGCGACUAGAGUGUGGUAGAGGGUAGCGGAAUUCCUGGUGUAGCAGUGAAAUGCGUAGA